UACAGAGUACUAUACUCCUACAACCCAUGUGAACUUACCUGUUUCCGUUGCUUCGGCGGGCUGCGCAACCCUCGUGGUGCGCGUCUCCAGGCCCGCCGGGGGUACCAAACUCUUGCGUUACAGUUAGCUUCUGAGCGAAACAAGUAAAUAAUCAAAACUUUCAACAACGGAUCUCUUGGUUCUGGCAUCGAUGAAGAACGCAGCGAAAUGCGAUAAGUAAUGUGAAUUGCAGAAUUCAGUGAAUCAUCGAAUCUUUGAACGCACAUUGCGCCUAUUAGUAUUCUAGUAGGCAUGCCUGUUCGAGCGUCAUUUCAACCCUCAAGCACUCUUGCUUGGCGUUGGGGCAGUACCGCACCGGUACGCCCCGAAAACCAGUGGCAGGGUCAGGGCAUCUCUGAGCGUAGUAAAUUUUCUCUCGCUUUGGUUAGGUGUCCUGGCCGUCGCCGUAAAACCCCCCUCACUUCUGAAUAGUUGACCUCGGAUCAGGUAGGAAUACCCGCUGAACUUAAGCAUAUCAAUAAGCGGAGGAAAAGAAACCAACAGGGAUUGCCCUAGUAACGGCGAGUGAAGCGGCAACAGCUCAAAUUUGAAAUCUGGCACUUGUGUCCGAGUUGUAAUUUGUAGAGGAUGCUUUUGGUGCGGUACCUUCCGAGUUCCCUGGAACGGGACGCCAUAGAGGGUGAGAGCCCCGUACGGUUGGAUGCCAAACCUCUGUAAAGCUCCUUCGACGAGUCGAGUAGUUUGGGAAUGCUGCUCUAAAUGGGAGGUAAAUUUCUUCUAAAGCUAAAUACCGGCCAGAGACCGAUAGCGCACAAGUAGAGUGAUCGAAAGAUGAAAAGCACUUUGAAAAGAGGGUUAAAUAGCACGUGAAAUUGUUGAAAGGGAAGGGCUUGUGACCAGACUUGUGCCUGGCGGAUCAUCCGGUGUUCUCACCGGUGCACUUCGCCAGGUUCAGGCCAGCAUCGGUUUCUGCAGAGGGAUAAAGACUCAGGGAAUGUAG
rnacentral:rRNA from 1 species